ACGGAAGGCAGCAGUGGGGAAUAUUGCACAAUGGGGGAAACCCUGAUGCAGCGAUGCCGCGUGGAGGAAGAAGGUUUUCGGAUUGUAAACUAUUUUAGACAGGGAAGAUAAAAGACGGUACCUGUAGAAUAAGCCCCGGCUAACUAUGUGCCAGCAGCCGCGGUAAUACAUAGGGGGCAAGCGUUAUCCGGAAUUAUUGGGCGUAAAGGGUGCGUAGACGGGAAUUUAAGUUAGUUGUGAAAUCCCUCGGCUCAACUGAGGAACUGCAACUAAAACUGGAUUCCUUGAGUGCAGGAGAGGAAAGCGGAAUUCCUAGUGUAGCGGUGAAAUGCGUAGAUAUUAGGAGGAACACCAGUGGCGAAGGCGGCUUUCUGGACUGUAACUGACGUUGAGGCACGAAAGUGUGGGGAGCAAACAGGAUUAGAUACCCUGGUA
rnacentral:rRNA from 1 species